rnacentral:rRNA from 1 species
UGUCCAGACUCCUACGGGAGGCAGCAGUGGUUCCUCUUGCACAAUUUGCUCAAGCCUGCUGCAGCCAUGCCGCGUGUCUGAAGAAGGCCUUCGGGUUGUACCGUACUUUCAGCGGGGCGGAAGGUGUUGCGGUUAAUAACCUCAGCAAUUGACGUUACCCGCAGAAGAAGCACCGGCUAACUCCGUGCCAGCAGCCGCGGUAAUACGGAGGGUGCAAGCGUUAAUCGGAAUUACUGGGCGGAAAGCGCACGCAGGCGGUCUGUCAAGGCGGAUGUGAAAUCCCCGGGCUCAACCGGGGAACUGCAUUCGAAACUGGCAGGCUGGAGUCGGGGAGAGGGGGGGAGAAUUCCAGGUGGAGCGGUGAAAUGCGGAGAGAUCUGGAGGAAGACCGGUGGCGAAGGCGGCCCCCUGGACAAAGACUGACGCGCAGGUGCGAAAGCGGGGGGAGCAAACAGGAGGAGAUACCCCAGUAGA